rnacentral:rRNA from 1 species
CUAAACAUAUUACCGAAGCUGUGGAUUGUCCUUUGGACAAUGGUAGGAGAGCGUUCUAAGGGCGUUGAAGCAUGAUCGUAAGGACAUGUGGAGCGCUUAGAAGUGAGAAUGCCGGUGUGAGUAGCGAAAGAUGGGUGAGAAUCCCGUCCACCGAUUGACUAAGGUUUCCAGAGGAAGGCUCGUCCGCUCUGGGUUAGUCGGGUCCUAAGCUGAGGCCGACAGGCGUAGGCGAUGGAUAACAGGUUGAUAUUCCUGUACCACCUAUAAUCGUUUUAAUCGAUGGGGGGACGCAGUAGGAUAGGCGAAGCGUGCGAUUGGAUUGCACGUCUAAGCAGUAAGGCUGAGUAUUAGGCAAAUCCGGUACUCGUUAAGGCUGAGCUGUGAUGGGGAGAAGACAUUGUGUCUUCGAGUCGUUGAUUUCACACUGCCGAGAAAAGCCUCUAGAUAGAAAAUAGGUGCCCGUACCGCAAACCGACACAGGUAGUCAAGAUGAGAAUUCUAAGGUGAGCGAGCGAACUCUCGUUAAGGAACUCGGCAAAAUGACCCCGUAACUUCGGGAGAAGGGGUGCUCUUUAGGGUUAACGCCCAGAAGAGCCGCAGUGAAUAGGCCCAAGCGACUGUUUAUCAAAAACACAGGUCUCUGCUAAACCGUAAGGUGAUGUAUAGGGGCUGACGCCUGCCCGGUGCUGGAAGGUUAAGAGGAGUGGUUAGCUUCUGCGAAGCUACGAAUCGAAGCCCCAGUAAACGGCGGCCGUAACUAUAACGGUCCUAAGGUAGCGAAAUUCCUUGUCGGGUAAGUUCCGACCCGCACGAAAGGCGUAACGAUUUGGGCACUGUCUCAACGAGAGACUCGGUGAAAUCAUAGUACCUGUGAAGAUGCAGGUUACCCGCGACAGGACGGAAAGACCCCGUGGAGCUUUACUGUAGCCUGAUAUUGAAAUUCGGCACAGCUUGUACAGGAUAGGUAGGAGCCUUUGAAACGUGAGCGCUAGCUUACGUGGAGGCGCUGGUGGGAUACUACCCUAGCUGUGUUGGCUUUCUAACCCGCACCACUUAUCGUGGUGGGAGACAGUGUCAGGCGGGCAGUUUGACUGGGGCGGUCGCCUCCUAAAAGG